UUUAAAGAGUGCGUAAUAGCUCACUAGUCGAGUGGCUCUGCGCCGAAAAUGUACCGGGGCUAAACAUAUUACCGAAACUGUGGAUUUAUGCGAUAGCAUAAGUGGUAGGGGAGCGUUCUAAGGGCGAUGAAGAUAGAUCGAGAGGACUAUUGGAGCGCUUAGAAGUGAGAAUGCCGGUGUGAGUAACGUAAGGUAGGUGAGAAUCCUACCCACUGAUUGACCAAGGAUUCCAGGGUCAAGUUCGUCUACCCUGGGUAAGUCAGGACCUAAGGCGAGGCUGAGAAGCGUAGUCGAUGGACAACAGGUUUAUAUUCCUGUACUAUUUAUAGGACUGAAGGAGUGACAAAGGAAGCUAGUAAGAGCCAUUUAAUGGAUUAUGGUCUAAGCACAAAGACUGAUACAUAGGAAAAUCCGUGAUAUCGAACGGUUGAAGUGUGAUGGCGAAGCAGUCUACGGACAGCGAAGUCUUAUGAGGCUAAACUUUUUAAAAAAGCUUCUAAAGAAAUGCUAUAAAUACCUGUACUAAGAACCAACGCAGGUGGUCAAGGAGAGAAUCCUAAGGUGAGCGAGAGAACUAUGGUUAAGGAACUCGGCACAAUGAUCCCGUAACUUCGGAAUAAGGGAAGGUCUUGAAAAAGACCCGCAGUGAAUAGGCCCAAGCGACUGUUUACCAAAAACACAGGUUUCUGCAAAAGCGUAAGCUGAAGUAUAGGAGCUGACGCCUGCCCAGUGCUGGAAGGUUAAGAUGAUUUGUAAGAUGGACGAAAGUCGAUAACAUCGAAGCAAUGAAUUGAAGCCCCAGUGAACGGCGGCGAUAACUAUAAUCGUCCAAAGGUAGCGAAAUUCCUUGUCAGGUAAGUUCUGACCCGCACGAAAGGCGUAACGAUUUGGGCACUGUCUCAACCAUAGACUCGGUGAAAUCUUAAUACCUGUGAAAAUGCAGGUUACCAGCGACAGGACGGGAAGACCCCAUGGAGCUUUACUGUAGCUUGAUAUUGAAAUCAGGUAGUUAAUGUAGAGGAUAGGUGGUAGACAAUGAAGUUAAGACGCUAGUCUUAAUGGAGUCGACCUUGGAAUACCACCCUUUGACUAUUUGAUUUCUAACUUGCACCCGUAAUCCGGGUGAAGGACAGUGUCUGGUGGGCAGUUUGACUGGGGCGGUCGCCUCCU
rnacentral:rRNA from 1 species